UCUUAAUAUCGUAUUGUGUUUCUAUUCCAAAAAUUUAGAUUGCUUGGAAUUUGGAUUCAAUCAGUUAAUUGGAUUUAAAAUUCUGCCCUUUUUUCCAGAUUAAAGUUAUGGUGAGCAACGAUGAGCUGAGUGAGAGUCAAAGGCGUGCUAAAUUGGAGGCAGAAUACGACAAGUUAUAUGCUUCUGUCAUGAAAAGGAAAAGUUUGAUUGACGAGAUGCAUGUCACUGUAGACGAGCUGACCCACAAAGCGGAGGAGACCAAAAAGGCUUUCGAUCAUGAGGUUAAGAUGCUGGUGACUUUGGUGCACAAAUUGUCUGAUCAAAUAAUUGCUUUAAAGAAAAUUGUUUUAAAGAAAAAAUGUCAAAUAGACCGUUGAAUUUUUACAUUUUAUCUAUACUAGUUUUUUA